rnacentral:lncRNA from 1 species
CAGCCUGCUCCCUGGCAACAAUCCACUGGACCCUCACCCAUGCUCCUCUGUACACCCACCUGGUUCCACACUACAAAGAUGCAGAGGACACUGGACCACCAAACCAUGUUCUAAGGAUUUAACCGAAUUUUAGUGGAAAGCAGAAAGCAAGGAAGACAUGCCAUGGAGUGUGGUGCCAGAACCCCCAAAUCACCGGCAUGAUCACCCUAAGGAC